GAUGAACGCUGGCGGCGCGCCUAACACAUGCAAGUCGAACGAUUAAAGCACCUUCGGGUGUGUAUAAAGUGGCGAACGGCUGAGUAACACGUGGGCAACCUGCCCCUUUCAUUGGGAUAGCCACGGGAAACCGUGGAUAAUACCGAAUACUUCGAGACUUCCGCAUGGAAGACUCGAGAAAGCUCCGGCGGAGAGGGAUGGGCCCGCGGCCUGUUAGCUUGUUGGUGGGGUAACGGCCUACCAAGGCAAUGAUGGGUAGCUGGGUUGAGAGACCGACCAGCCAGAUUGGGACUGGGAAACGGCCCAGACUCCUACGGGAGGAAGAAGUGGGGAAUCUUGAACAAUGGGCGAAAGCCUGAUGAAGCGACGCCGCGUGCGGGAUGAAGGCCUUCGGGUUGUAACCCGCUUUCAGCAGGGACGAGGCGAAAGUGACGGUACCUGCAGAAGAAGCCCCGGCUAACUACGUG
rnacentral:rRNA from 1 species